ACAACUUUCAGCAACGGAUGUCUAGGCUCCCACAACGAUAAGAACGCAGCGAAAUGCGAUACGUAAUGCGAAUUGCAAGACCUCGUGAAUCAUCCAAAUUUUGAACGCACAUUGCGCUUCCAGGAUUUUCCUGGCAGCAUGCUUGUCUGAGUGU
rnacentral:rRNA from 1 species